UCAGUUCCUCACUUCCUCUUCCUCCGCCUCUUCCCCUUCCUCUUCGGUCCUCCGUGGCCCCUGGCCUUGCUCUCCAGUCCCCCGGCUCUGAUUCGGUCCGAAGACGCCUGCCUGCCUCUCCCCUCCCCGGGUCGAUGGGGACAGGACCUUCUUGGAAGAGGAAUGUGGUGGAAAGUGGCAGAAAUCCACAUGGAACUGAGAGGUGGUGGGCUUCAGCAGAGUGUUGAGCAACCAGUGCCACUAAUGAAGUGAGCCUAGAACCCAGCAGGGGUCCUCCUCACUUCCAUUCUCCCAGACCCCGUCCUGCUAAAAAAUUAAAAUAGCUUGGGAUAAUCAAA